rnacentral:rRNA from 1 species
CCGCCCGUCACAUCACGAAAGUGGAUUGUACUAGAAGUCUGCACGCCGACCCGCAAGGGGGGCGAGCGGCCCAACGGUAGUGAUCCAUGAUUGGGGUG